rnacentral:lncRNA from 1 species
UUUAACUUUAAUAAAACAAAUAUUAAAACGAAGAGUAUUGCAGUUAUGAUAAACAUUUCCACUGCAAUUGCAUUGAGUGUGUAUGCAAAUGUAAUAUCUUUGGUUAGCUUGCUUGCUAGCUUAAUCGUGAAGUAAUUAAAAGGUAAGGCAAACUAUCCUCCUUUAAGAGUAGACUGAUCCGACAAACAAUCAAUCUACCUGUCUGUUGAACUAGGCUUCUUCGAAAGGAGGGUAUUAUACCUACCUUAUAAUGACUUCACGGUUUAGCUUACAAGCAAGCUAACUAAAUAUAUUACAUUUGCCUAAAAAGUCAAUGAAAUCGGCUGUAAAAAUUUCAACUAACAAGCUUGUAGGAAUAUUUGUAAGUUACUUGAAAGUGAUAUAGAAGUUUAGUCUAUAUCGUUUAUCAUAAACAGUAUUAAUAUUCUUCAUUCUAAAUUCCUAUUUUCAGUAAAGGUAUUUGAAAAUUGUAUUUGAAUUAAGUGUUAAUUGCAACAGCUUUGAAACUGCUGAUCCCUAAAACGUCCAUUGGAAAGUUUAAGGGUAGCAGUACAGACAUUAUUUUUUUCGCAUUUAUAUCUCCAUCCAGUAAUGGUUCUUCCCGAGGUGUACCUUUCAACUUCAGUACAAUCCCUUCUAGCAUC